rnacentral:lncRNA from 1 species
CUCCCUUUCCCCCCGCGUCUCUCUGAGAGCUGAUCUGAGCUGCUGCUAAGGACCGAAACGCGCCUCAAGCUGUCACUUGCCGCCUGGAGUUCGUUGGGAAAGUUGAAAAAGCCUAGUCCUGUUUAGGAAAUCUAUCCAGCUGUGUAUAUACUUUUUGCUUUUAGGGUAUGAAGCUCAGGAAGGAUAAGAAAAACAAGAUCACACAGCUGGCAAGUGGCAAAGCAGGACACAAUUUAUAACUCCAGAACGAGAAUUUGCAGUUGUUGCGCCAGAUGCCCUGUAGCGGGGCUGCCACCAAGAAGGUGGAAGAACACCUUUAAUUCCAGCACUCAGGACACAGAAACAGGACCUCUCUGCAUAGCCAUGACUAUUCCUGGAACUCACUAUGUAAACCAGAGAUCUGCUUGCCACUGCCUCCCUAGUGCUGGGAUUAAAGUGGCUCGUCUGGGUUCAGGAAAGUAUAGCUCCAGUUUAGUGUUCUUAUGGAUCAUCGACUGUACCCAAGACCAGAAACGGAAACAACUAGAUCAUCUUCAACUGAACAACGGAGACAGAAACGUGAUACAGGGGACUCUGGUUCAAUUCCCAGCACCCACAUGA